rnacentral:rRNA from 1 species
UUUCCUACGUGGCGCAGCAGUAGGGAAUCUUCCACAAUGGACGAAAGUCUGAUGGAGCAACGCCGCGUGAGUGAAGAAGGGUUUCGGCUCGUAAAGCUCUGUUGGUAGUGAAGAAAGAUAGAGGUAGUAACUGGCCUUUAUUUGACGGUAAUUACUUAGAAAGUCACGGCUAACUACGUGCCAGCAGCCGCGGUAAUACGUAGGGAGCGAGUGUUAUCCGGAUUUAUUGGGGGUAAAGGGUGCGUAGAUGGAUAAACAAGUUGGUUGUGAAAUCCCUCGGCUUAACUGAGGA